rnacentral:rRNA from 1 species
GUGGGGAAUUUUGGACAAUGGGCGCAAGCCUGAUCCAGCAAUGCCGCGUGUGUGAAGAAGGCCUUCGGGUUGUAAAGCACUUUUGUCCGGAAAGAAAUCUCCUGGGUUAAUACCUCGGGGGGAUGACGGUACCGGAAGAAUAAGCACCGGCUAACUACGUGCCAGCAGCCGCGGUAAUACGUAGGGUGCGAGCGUUAAUCGGAAUUACUGGGCGUAAAGCGUGCGCAGGCGGCUAUGCAAGACAGAUGUGAAAUCCCCGGGCUCAACCUGGGAACUGCAUUUGUGACUGCAUGGCUAGAGUGCGUCAGAGGGAGGUGGAAUUCCGCGUGUAGCAGUGAAAUGCGUAGAGAUGCGGAGGAACACCGAUGGCGAAGGCAGCCUCCUGGGAUAACACUGACGCUCAGGCACGAAAGCGUGGGGAGCAAACAGGAUUAGAAACCCGUGUAGUCC